rnacentral:rRNA from 1 species
GACGAACGCUGGCGGCGUGCUUAACACAUGCAAGUCGGACGGAAAGGCCCUGCUUUUGUGGGGUGCUCGAGUGGCGAACGGGUGAGUAACACGUGAGUAACCUGCCCUUGACUUUGGGAUAACUUCAGGAAGCUGGGGCUAAUACCGGAUAGGAGCUCCUGCUGCAUGGUGGGGGUUGGAAAGUUUCGGCGGUUGGGGAUGGACUCGCGGCUUAUCAGCUUGUUGGUGGGGUAGUGGCUUACCAAGGCUUUGACGGGUAGCCGGCCUGAGAGGGUGACCGGCCACAUUGGGACUGAGAUACGGCCCAGACUCCUACGGGAGGCAGCAGUGGGGAAUAUUGCACAAUGGGCGGAAGCCUGAUGCAGCAACGCCGCGUGCGGGAUGACGGCCUUCGGGUUGUAAACCGCUUUCGCCUGUGACGAAGCGUGAGUGACGGUAAUGGGUAAAGAAGCACCGGCUAACUACGUG